rnacentral:rRNA from 1 species
UGGGGAAUAUUGGACAAUGGGCGAAAGCCUGAUCCAGCCAUGCCGCGUGUGUGAAGAAGGUCUUCGGAUUGUAAAGCACUUUAAGUUGGGAGGAAGGGCAGUAAGCGAAUACCUUGCUGUUUUGACGUUACCGACAGAAUAAGCACCGGCUAACUCUGUGCCAGCAGCCGCGGUAAUACAGAGGGUGCAAGCGUUAAUCGGAAUUACUGGGCGUAAAGCGCGCGUAGGUGGUUCGUUAAGUUGAAUGUGAAAGCCCCGGGCUCAACCUGGGAACUGCAUCCAAGACUGGCGAGCUAGAGUAGGGCAGAGGGUGGUGGAAUUUCCCGUGCAGUGGUGAAAUGCGUAGAUAUAGGAAGGAAAACCAGUGGCUAAGGCGACCACCUGGGCUCAUACUGACACUGAGGUGCGAAAGCGUGGGGAGCAAACAGG